CCUACGGGAGGCAGCAGUGAGGAAUAUUGGUCAAUGGACGAGAGUCUGAACCAGCCAAGUAGCGUGAAGGAUGACUGCCCUAUGGGUUGUAAACUUCUUUUAUAUGGGAAUAAAAUGUUCCACGUGUGGGAUUUUGUAUGUACCAUAUGAAUAAGGACCGGCUAACUCCGUGCCAGCAGCCGCGGUAAUACGGGGGAUCCGAGCGUUAUCCGGAUUUAUGGGGUGUAAGGGGAGCGUAGGUGGAUUGUUAAGUCGGUUGUGAAAGUUUGCGGCUAAACCGUAAAAUUGCAGUUGAAACUGGCAGUCUUGAGUACAGUAGAGGUAGGCGGAAUUCGUGGUGUAGCGGUGAAAUGCUUAGAUAUCACGAAGAACUCCGAGUGCGAAGGCAGUUCACUGAACUGCAACUGACACUGGGGCUCGAAAGUGUGGGUAUCAAACAGGAUUAGAUACCCCUGAGUC
rnacentral:rRNA from 1 species